rnacentral:rRNA from 1 species
AUACGUAGGGAGCGAGCGUUGUCCGGAAUUACUGGGUGUAAAGGGUGCGUAGGCGGGGAUGCAAGUCAGAUGUGAAAUGUAUGGGCUCUACCCAUGAACUGCAUUUGAAACUGCAACUCUUGAGUGAGGGAGAGGUAAGCGGAAUUCCUAGUGUAGCGGUGAAAUGCGUAGAUAUUAGGAGGAACAUCGGUGGCGAAGGCGGCUUACUGGGCCUUUACUGACGCUGAGGCACGAAAGCGUGGGGAGCAAACAGGAUUAGAUACCCUGGUAGUCCACGCUGUAAACGAUGAUGACUAGGUGUGGGGGGACUGAACCCUUCCGUGCCGCAGUUAACACAAUAAGUCAUCCACCUGGGGAGUACGGCCGCAAGGUUGAAACUCAAAUGAAUUGGCGGGG